rnacentral:lncRNA from 1 species
AGGACUUUGCUGGCCAGCACCUGGGAGGACAGUCAAUCCAAGGGGUUGGUGAUGAAGAUAUCAUUCUCUCCAGGAAAGUCCUCCUGGAUUCUGCAAAGGAGAAAGAAAUUGAUUUCCCCUCCAUCGAUGGGAGGAGCCAUCUGAAAGUCUUCUCCUUCAGGUCUCUUGGGAGGGUGAACAACUGUCAUUGGCCUAGAUGGGUGAGAAGAAUUGGGUGGGACAAUUCCAAUCCUUGGCAUCUGUCCUCAGUGGAGACCCUCCACAAACCGGCAUUCUAGGUGAAAUCUGUUUUCAUUAUGUCCUAUGUCUCCUUUUCCCU